CAUAUCAGUACCACGCUUCUGGAGAUAAAAGUUGUUAAACCAGAAGUAGUUAUUGUACAGAUUUAGCUCUAUAGACUCUAAAACAAACUGUUUCUGUAAUUCAGGAUAUUCCGCAGUUUGCAAGAAGAAGGCUGUAGCUUGUAUUCCCAACUCAUGUCGAAUUAUAGUGUACAAAGAGGACAUAUCCACUGUAACUAGCAGGUGUUCUCUUUGCCACUGGACAGUAUUUAGGAUUUGGAGCACAUUGGUGGUGUCUCUCAAAUAAGGACACUUCUGUACUGUCUCCCUUACACACACAGUAAUAUGUACUGUCUCC